UUUUGGGGCUCGGCAUACUGCUCAAUAACACGUGCAUAACCUGCCCUAUUGUCUGGAAUAACCUCGGGAAACUGAAAACAAGGACGGAUAACCCACAAUGCCUGGAACGGUUUGUGGGUGAAGAUAGGAUGGGUCUGCGGCGUAUCACGUCGUAGGGGGUGUAAUGGACCUCCUAGCCAUCGACGCGUACGGGUGUUGGGAGACAUAGCCCGGAGAUGGAUUCUGAGACACCAAUCCAGACCCUACGGGGUGCAGCAGGCGCGAAAACUUCACACUGCACGAAACUGUGAUGAGGGAACUCCAAGUGCAUGCACUAUGUGCAUGCUUUUCUUAACUAUUAAUCGGUUUUGGAAUAAGGGCUGGAAAAGACCGGUGCCAGCCGCCCCCAUAAUACCGGUAACUCAAGUGGUCCUCGCUUUUAUUGGGCCUAAAACGUCCGUAGCCUGUUUGGUAAAUCUGUGGGUAAAUCAACCCAGCUUAACUGGUUGAAUUCUGCAGAGACUGCCCAACUUAGGACCGUGAGAGGUGUGGGGUACUCUAGGGGUAG
rnacentral:rRNA from 1 species